UAAAAAAACAACUGUCGAAGUCAGACGAGUGUUGGUCGAGUCUACUGUCAACUACUGUGUUUGCGAUUGAGUGUUUUAGACAAGAAAUAUGCCCAGAUGCCCAGGAUAUUGAUUGCAGGGUACACCAAAUUUGGUCAACUUUCAUCAUGAGAUGCUAUAGUUCAGCUAUAGAGAGGACACAGAGAGUAAUUACAAAAAAAAAACGAAUUACUAAACUGCCAGUAGAUGUCCGACAGGAGCUUACGGACAGAAAGCGGCAGGCGCAAUUAGAUUUAGCAAUAAGGCCGCCUUUUGUCUCUAGUGUCUCGAUUUAUUUGUUUGGUACGUCAUUUUGUGCAAUCAAGUAUAUUGUAUUGCAAGACUGUAAUUUUAAAUUCUAAUAAAAAAUAUAUAUUUUUAAGGUCCGAAUGUUAAGUGCUUGGUAAAAAAUGUAAAUAAAACAAGCAUUCAAUUAUAAAUUGGUUUUAGUUCAUAUUAAUAAACCUUAAUUUUUCUACUGGUUUUCUU